UACGAAGGGGGCUAGCGUUGCUCGGAAUCACUGGGCGUAAAGGGUGCGUAGGCGGGUCUUUAAGUCAGGGUGAAUCCUGGAGCUCAACUCCAGAACUGCCUUUGAUACUGAAGAUCUUGAGUUCGGGAGAGGUGAGUGGAACUGCGAGUGUAGAGGUGAAAUUCGUAGAUAUUCGCAAGAACACCAGUGGCGAAGGCGGCUCACUGGCCCGAUACUGACGCUGAGGCACGAAAGCGUGGGGAGCAAACAGGG
rnacentral:rRNA from 1 species